AUUGAACGCUGGCGGCAGGCUUAACACAUGCAAGUCGAGCGGUAGCACAGGGGAGCUUGCUCCCUGGGUGACGAGCGGCGGACGGGUGAGUAAUGUCUGGGAAACUGCCUGAUGGAGGGGGAUAACUACUGGAAACGGUAGCUAAUACCGCAUAACGUCGCAAGACCAAAGAGGGGGACCUUCGGGCCUCUUGCCAUCAGAUGUGCCCAGAUGGGAUUAGCUAGUAGGUGGGGUAAUGGCUCACCUAGGCGACGAUCCCUAGCUGGUCUGAGAGGAUGACCAGCCACACUGGAACUGAGACACGGUCCAGACUCCUACGGGAGGCAGCAGUGGGGAAUAUUGCACAAUGGGCGCAAGCCUGAUGCAGCCAUGCCGCGUGUGUGAAGAAGGCCUUCGGGUUGGAAAGCACUUUCAGCGAGGAGGAAGGUGGUGAACUUAAUACGUUCAUCAAUUGACGUUACUCCCAUAAGAAGCACCGGCUAACUCCGUGCCAGCAGCCGCGGGAAUACUGAGGGGGCCAGCGUUAAUCGGAAUUACUGGGCGUAAGCGCACGCAGGCGGUUUGUUAGUCAGAUGUGAAAUCCCCGGGCUCAACCUGGGAACUGCAUUUGAAACUGGCAAGCUAGAGUCUCGUAGAGGGGGGUAGAAUUCCAGGUGUAGCGGUGAAAUGCGUAGAGAUCUGGAGGAAUACCGGUGGCGAAGGCGGCCCCCUGGACGAAGACUGACGCUCAGGUGCGAAAGCGUGGGGAGCAAACAGGAUUAGAUACCCUGGUAGUCCACGCUGUAAACGAUGUCGAUUUGGAGGUUGUGCCCUUGAGGCGUGGCUUCCGGAGCUAACGCGUUAAAUCGACCGCCUGGGGAGUACGGCCGCAAGGUUAAAACUCAAAUGAAUUGACGGGGGCCCGCACAAGCGGUGGAGCAUGUGGUUUAAUUCGAUGCAACGCGAAGAACCUUACCUACUCUUGACAUCCAGAGAACUUAGCAGAGAUGCUUUGGUGCCUUCGGGAACUCUGAGACAGGUGCUGCAUGGCUGUCGUCAGCUCGUGUUGUGAAAUGUUGGGUUAAGUCCCGCAACGAGCGCAACCCUUAUCCUUUGUUGCCAGCGGUUCGGCCGGGAACUCAAAGGAGACUGCCAGUGAUAAACUGGAGGAAGGUGGGGAUGACGUCAAGUCAUCAUGGCCCUUACGAGUAGGGCUACACACGUGCUACAAUGGCAUAUACAAAGAGAAGCGACCUCGCGAGAGCAAGCGGACCUCAUAAAGUAUGUCGUAGUCCGGAUUGGAGUCUGCAACUCGACUCCAUGAAGUCGGAAUCGCUAGUAAUCGUAGAUCAGAAUGCUACGGUGAAUACGUUCCCGGGCCU
rnacentral:rRNA from 1 species